rnacentral:rRNA from 1 species
GACAGAGGUCUCGAGCGUUAGGCGGAAUCACUGGGCUUAAAGCGUGUGUAGGCGGACUUGUAAGUACCUUGUGAAAUCCCACGGCUCAACCGUGGAACUGCUUGGUAUACUGCUUGUCUUGGGCCAGCUAGAGGUUACCGGAACAAACGGUGGAGCGGUGAAAUGCGUAGAGAUUAGGAAGAACACCAGUGGCGAAGGCGACUUACUGGACUGUAACUGACGCUGAGGCAUGAAAGCGUGGGGAGCAAACAGG